rnacentral:rRNA from 1 species
GAUGAACGCUAGCGGCAGGCUUAACACAUGCAAGUCGAGGGGCAGCGCGGGAUAGCAAUAUCCUGGCGGCGACCGGCGGAAGGGUGCGUAACGCGUGAGCGACAUGCCCGUUGCCCGGGGACAACCGGUGGAAACGCCGACUAAUCCCCGAUGGGAUAUUGUGCCGCAUGGCACGAUAUUGAAAGUUACGGCGGCGACGGAUUGGCUCGCGUCCGAUUAGCUUGUUGGCGGGGUAACGGCCCACCAAGGCUGCGAUCGGUAGGGGUUCUGAGAGGAAGGCCCCCCACAAUGGGACGGAGACACGGCCCAUACUCCUACGGGAGGCAGCAGUGAGGAAUAUUGGUCAAUGGGCGGAAGCCUGAACCAGCCAUGCCGCGUGCGGGAAGGAGGCCCUAUGGGCUGUGAACCGCUUUUGCCUGGGGGAAAUAAGGGCGUCGCGCACGUCCGAUGAGAGUACCAGGCGAAUAAGCAUCGGCUAACUCCGUG